CUGCUGCAGCAGCUGCUGCAGUUGCUGCUGCAGCAGCUGUGCUGCGCCUGCUGCUGCAGUUGUUGCUGCAGCAGCUGCUGCAGUUGCUGCUGCAGUUGUUGCUGCAGCAGCUGCUGCAGUUUCUGCUGCAGCUGCUGCUGCAGUUGCUGCUGCAGUUGCUGCUGCAGCUGCUGCUGCAGUUGCUGCUGCAGUUGCUGCUGCAGCUGCUGCUGCAGCUGCUGCUGCAGUUGCUGCUGCAGUU
rnacentral:sRNA from 1 species